rnacentral:rRNA from 1 species
UUAACCGGGUGAGGGCUCUGGGUCCACCUCCCACCCGUGUUUAUCGUACCUUGUUGCUUCGGCGGGCCCGCCUCACGGCCGCCGGGGGGCAUCCGCCCCCGGGCCCGCGCCCGCCGAAGACACACAAACGAACUCUUGUCUGAAGAUUGCAGUCUGAGUACUUGACUAAAUCAGUUAAAACUUUCAACAACGGAUCUCUUGGUUCCGGCAUCGAUGAAGAACGCAGCGAAAUGCGAUAAGUAAUGUGAAUUGCAGAAUUCAGUGAAUCAUCGAGUCUUUGAACGCACAUUGCGCCCCCUGGUAUUCCGGGGGGCAUGCCUGUCCGAGCGUCAUUGCUGCCCUCAAGCACGGCUUGUGUGUUGGGCUCUCGCCCCCCGCUUCCGGGGGGCGGGCCCGAAAGGCAGCGGCGGCACCGCGUCCGGUCCUCGAGCGUAUGGGGCUUCGUCACCCGCUCUGUAGGCCCGGCCGGCGCCCGCCGGCGAACACCAUCAAUCUUAACCAGGUUGACCUCGGAUCAGGUAGGGAUACCCGCUGAACUUAAGCAUAUCAAUAAACGGAGGAA